GUUAGGCUACAUGUAGGGUUUGGAAACUUUGGAGGUCAAUUGUCAAGCUUCUCCACGAAGCUGAGAAAAUUGGACAGUGAUGCGCACGUGCCCCAAAGUUGAAAUUGAUUUGAUUGAUCGGUGCCCUUACUUGAACUCUAAACCAAAUAAAGAUCAACAAGAUGAUGAUGCAGGUAUCGUGGUACCGAUGGCAGGUGAUCUAGUAUCUUCUGGGUCAGAGUAUGGUGUGAACGACUGGUGGAUGCCAGAAGUGGAGUAGCAUGAUCAGGACUGUGCUUACGUCGCACCGGGAGAUUGUAUAUCAUAUUUUGAUAUUUUUGGAUA